CCCUUAGAUGUUCUGGGCCGCACGCGCGCUACACUGAUGCGAUCAUCAAGUUUACAACCUUGGCCGGGAGGUCUGGGUAAUCUUUGAAAACGCAUCGUGCUGGGGAUAGUUGGUUGCAAUUUUCCAACUUAAACGAGGAAUUCCUAGUAAACGCAAGUCAUCAACUUGCAUUGAUUACGUCCCUGCCCUUUGUACACACCGCCCGUCGCUACUACCGAUUGAAUGGCUUAGUGAGUUUCACGGACUGUUGGUCUUGGUUGGUUCGCCUUCCAUGGUCAGCCGGGAAGUGAUGCUAACUUGAUCAUUUAGAGGAAGUAAAAGUCGUAACA
rnacentral:rRNA from 1 species